rnacentral:telomerase_RNA from 1 species
GCCGCUCCCCGUUGGCCUCCGAGCUUUUUGCUCGUUCUAACCCUAAUUAUUUCAUUUGGCCUCUUCUCAAUUUUUGCUGAGUUUUGGCCGAGGUCCAGCAAAACGAGAGAGGCGUUCCACGGACGUUGGUUUUAAAACUUGACAAACCUCGGCUCCCACCAUUCGGGGAGUAAGGCCUCCGCAAUCGGGUGCGAGUUUACCCCCCCACCCCAAACCUCAUCGGGCUCGCUUCUCACGGCCUCGCCUGGCCCCGGCGUGCCCGGCCUUCGUGCCCUCGCCGCCGGGAGGAGUUCGUCUCCGCCGCCACGCGAGCCGAGCCCUGGGGGGGGGGCUCCACGAUGCGAGAGUAACGAGAGGGUUCAGGUCUCCGAUGGGCUUCCCCCAGAUUGGUGGGGAUUGCACCUCUGGCCGCCUCUUACAUGU